rnacentral:rRNA from 1 species
GCGUGCUUAACACAUGCAAGUCGAACGAUGAAGCCCAGCUUGCUGGGUGGAUUAGUGGCGAACGGGUGAGUAACACGUGAGUAACCUGCCCUUAACUCUGGGAUAAGCCUGGGAAACURGGUCUAAUACCGGAUAGGAGCGCCUACCGCAUGGUGGGUGUUGGAAAGAUUUAUCGGUUUUGGAUGGACUCGCGGCCUAUCAGCUUGUUGGUGAGGUAAUGGCUCACCAAGGCGACGACGGGUAGCCGGCCUGAGAGGGUGACCGGCCACACUGGGACUGAGACACGGCCCAGACUCCUACGGGAGGCAGCAGUGGGGAAUAUUGCACAAUGGGCGCAAGCCUGAUGCAGCGACGCCGCGUGAGGGAUGACGGCCUUCGGGUUGUAAACCUCUUUCAGUAGGGAAGAAGCGAAAGUGACGGUACCUGCAGAAGAAGCACCGGCUAACUACGUGCCAGCAGCCGCGGUAAUACGUAGGGUGCGAGCGUUAUCCGGAAUUAUUGGGCGUAAAGAGCUCGUAGGCGGUUUGUCGCGUCUGUCGUGAAAGUCCGGGGCUUAACCCCGGAUCUGCGGUGGGUACGGGCAGACUAGAGUGCAGUAGGGGAGACUGGAAUUCCUGGUGUAGCGGUGGAAUGCGCAGAUAUCAGGAGGAACACCGAUGGCGAAGGCAGGUCUCUGGGCUGUAACUGACGCUGAGGAGCGAAAGCAUGGGGAGCGAACAGGAUUAGAUACCCUGGUAGUCCAUGCCGUAAACGUUGGGCACUAGGUGUGGGGACCAUUCCACGGUUUCCGCGCCGCAGCUAACGCAUUAAGUGCCCCGC